UGAAAAGUUAUUAACCUGGCCUUUACUGUUCACGUUCAUAUCAACAUUCACCUCUUUUGAGCUACAGCCAGAAUCAUCCAUUAAACUCUGUGUACAGCAUUCUAGGACUUUUCUAGCCCACCUGUCCAAACCUUUCCCAACCCCUCCUGGAAACCAGUUUCAAAUGUUUGUGAACCACAUGGUUACGUAUAGUUACAACAACUACUCCACUUUUCUAGUACUAAUUCUGUAUUAGUCAGCUUUUCAUUCCAGGGACUAAAUAUUCAACACACUACUUAAAGAAGAAGGGUUUAUUUUUGCUCAUAGUUUCAAAGGAUUUAGGCCAUGGUUGGCUGAUUGCAAUGUAGGAACAUCAUGACAUAAAGGAAUGGUGGAGGAAAGCUGCUUAGCUCAUCAGGUCUAGGAAAGAAAGCAAGGGAACAGCAACAGAAAGGAAAGGGCCAGGGACCAGAUGUAGCCCUCAAGAUCUUGCCUUCAUGACUCACCCAGAUACCAAGAAGUGGGCUUUAAAAAUCCCCCAGGUGGCUCCCAAGCCGAUGAAGUUUAUAAUUAAGCUUAUUCAUUGCAUCAGAAAGCAGCUCAAACCUCAACUUUCUACAUGUUUUUAUAGAGCUUCAUAUUUGUUGGGAAGUGAACCAUUCCAUCAAUUGCAACACAAGAUGUUACUUGAGUAUAGCAGUUAUUUGAAUAUUCUUGCUUUGUUUUUAUUCACCCUUGGGCCAGAUGCAGAAGAAUCCAAAGAUCAGGAAAUGGGAAUGUUACAAGAUUAUGGAAACCUCAGUUCCUCAAUCAACACACAGAAGAGAGCUUCCUGGAACAUACUCACUAGACUUGGUCAUGUAAAGACCAUGAAAUAAAUACUUGUGUUAAUCUGUGAAAUUGGGAGAUUUGUUGUUAUGACAACUAGCUGAUUCUAAACAGUUUUCUCUGAGACCAAUUAAUAGACUGACUCAAGUGUUUCAAAUAAUCUUUAAAAAUUUUUAAUCCAAAUUUCUAAUUUUACAGCUGAGGAAAUUGAGAUUUUAGAAGUUAAGUUACUUUCUCACAUAAGUGUAAAUGACAUAGCAGAAACAAAAAUAGAUGUGUGAAUUCCUGUCCUGUGGUCUAGCUCAGUUUCCUCUUUGUUAGUGACAAGUUCUAAAGGAAAUUCUUGCAGUAAAUAUUUGGAUGUGCCACAGUUUCAGAGCUAUUAUUGAAUACAGAAUUUCAAUAACAUUCUUUACUUUAAAAUACAAAUAGAAGCUAGUAAAUAUGUAUUUUUAUGCUAUAUUGAAUAUUUUGUUAAUCAAAAAUAACUUUUUCCUUUA
rnacentral:lncRNA from 1 species